rnacentral:rRNA from 1 species
GAUGAACGCUGGCGGCGUGCCUAAUACAUGCGAGUCGAGCGAACGGACGAGAAGCUUGCUUCUCUGAUGUUAGCGGCGGACGGGUGAGUAACACGUGGAUAACCUACCUAUAAGACUGGGAUAACUUCGGGAAACCGGAGCUAAUACCGGAUAAUAUUUUGCACCGCAUGGUUCAAAAGUGAAAGACGGUCUUGCUGUCACUUAUAGAUGGAUCCGCGCUGCAUUAGCUAGUUGGUAAGGUAACGGCUUACCAAGGCAACGAUGCAUAGCCGACCUGAGAGGGUGAUCGGCCACACUAGAACUGAGACACGGUCCAGACUCCUGCGGGAGGGAGCAGUAGGGAAUCUUCCGCAAUGGGCGAAAGCCUGACGGAGCAACGGCGCGUUAGUUAUGAAGGUCUUCGGAUCGUAAAACUCUGUUAUUAGGGAAGAACAUAUGUGUAAGUAACUGUGCACAUCUUGACGGUACCUAAUCAGAAAGCCACGGCUAACUACGUG